GACAGAGGGUGCAAACGUUGUUCGGAAUUACUGGGCGUAAAGCGUGUGUAGGCGGCCAUGUAAGUCGGAUGUGAAAGCCCCAGGCUCAACCUGGGAAGUGCACUCGAUACUGCGUGGCUUGAGUAUCGGAGAGGUUGGUGGAAUUCUCGGUGUAGAGGUGAAAUUCGUAGAUAUCGAGAGGAACACCGGUGGCGAAGGCGGCCAACUGGACGAAUACUGACGCUGAGACACGAAAGCGUGGGGAGCAAACAGG
rnacentral:rRNA from 1 species